UGUUAACGUCCCGUUGCUUGGGGAAAUGGGGAGGGUGUAACAUCAGUGCUGGAAAAACUCUGAGAUGAUGUGAUUGAACAGGAUGGAGUAAAGUACAGCAAUGCGCCCAACAGAAAUCAACAUGUGGACAAGACAGAGACCUCUCCUAGGAACUAAACUCCACGAACACAACAAUCUGCAGUUGCCAUCAGCUCGUCUGGUGGCUACUUGGGGAUGGGCCUUCUCCAUUGCUGCCCCGAGGCUUUAGAACACACUUCCUGCUGAAAUAAGAGCGUCCCCAUCUCUUACAACUUUUAAAAGGGCAGUCAAGAUGCAUUUGUUCACCCAGGCUUUUAAUUAGAUACCGUUUUAAUUGUGUUUUAAUUGUGUUUUAAUUGUUUUAACUUUUUAAAUUUUAAUUAUUGAAAUAUGUUAAUCUUUUUAUUGGUUGUUUUGUCUUGUAAACAGCCCAUAGAACUUGCGUUUUGGGCAGUAUAAAAAUAUGCUAAAUAAAAUCAAUCAGUCAAUCAAUAAACAAUAGCCAUACUAUUGACAGCAAUGAAAACCAGUUUGUAAAAUAAACUGUGAAUCACCCUGAGAUGUUUUGGGAUGGGCAGCAUAUAAAUGAAAUAAAUGAAUGAAAUAAACUGUGCAAUUACACAAA